GCCAAGACUGCCUGCCUUAGCCUGGUAAGCUGAGUUCUCAUUUCACUGACUUUCUGUAUUUUUCUUCUCCCUUAAUCUCUCUCAUUUUGUCUCAUGGCUCAAGAAGGGACAAGUUGCUGCCUUUUCCCUUUAUUUUAGGAAGUUUGUGUGACAGCUGUAGCAGCUGCUGCUGCUGGAUUCUGUUUGAACACAUUCCAGCAAUUCGCCCGCUGUAUGAUCCUUCAAAGUGACACUGGUUUCAUCAGUCUGGCGAUGGCAUAUCUGUUUCAGAACCAGGGGCAGGGAGAGUGGCUGGCGAUCAUUUGCUCAUUAACAUUGAUUAUAGCAAUCACUGUCCCCAGGCAGGGAGAGCAGCUCGUGGCAUAUCAAUGGCUGAGCAGGGUGGGGACAUCUCCUUUCUUUCAGGGGCAGCUUUGGACAGAACAAGCUGUAUUUUGUUUGCAUAUUCAGGGCCCCCAAAUGUCUAACCUGAGUUUACUCUGGUUAAAGGAAAUUCAAAAAUCACCCAAAUAAAUCAGGGGUAACUAUUCACAAUCAAAAGGAUUCUUUCCUCUGCACAAGGCUCUUCACUGAGCUCUCUUAUUGCCAGACCUCAUGGGGCAGUUGGGAGUUUGUUUAUUGAGCUGAAUGUGACCAAGGGGAAGGAGGGAGGUCAGGGGCUGCCUGCAUCUUCCGGCCCCUCCCAGCUAGAGUCACGGGUGCCUCCAGCUGUGGGCUGGACCCCAGCCAGAGCCUGGAGCCAUCCUGAGCAGCAGCUCAGCUCACCCUGUCCUUUGGGCGCUCUGAGCUGACCCACCACUCCUUCCAGGCUUUAUUAACCCUUCCAUUCACUCACCCCUUUCCUGGCAUCCAGUGUACCCACCAAGCUUAGUGCGAAGCACAGGGGCUACAUGUAGACAAAUCAUGUAGACAGAUCACUCACCCUAUGGUGCCUUCUGCCAGUGGGCAAGUGGACCAGGAGAAGUGAUAUCAAGUGACCACAUGCUUAGGGAACAUAGCCAGGGGGCUCAGGCAGCUGGGAGAGACAAGAGCUCACAGAAACCCUGAGGGGUCUCAUUUCUACUAAGACUUGAGAGGUGAGCAGGUGGCCAGGUGAAGACGUGAGGAAAGAAGGCACGGCAGAAACAAAUCCCACAGAGGCUGAAGCACAGGAGGAGGGAAGUUGAGUGAAGUGAGAGUGUUAACCAACCUUGCCUCCUCAAACCUUCAGAACACCCCUGGGGGAAGUCCCACUAUUUUGACCGUCCCAGCAUACAAAUGGCAAAACUGAGGCAUAGAGCAGUCAACUAGCCUGCCCAAGAUCACAUAUCUAAAGAGCAAUGGGUGCACCCCAGCCAUCUGGCUCCCAAGUCUGCCGACAUGCAGGGUUGCAGCUGAACGACACAGAAGGGUUUGAGCAGCAAAGAAACAUGGGGGUUUUAACAAGGGCUCCCCUGCAGAAGGGGCUGGUGGGCAGAGCAGCCAGCAUCUGCAUGUGCUAAAAGCACGUAGAAGAGGUUCCUCCUCUAGCCCUCUGUACCUCAUUCCCUGGGUGGUCUGCAUUUCCACAUUUCAUCCAGAGUCACAUUCUUUGGACAGGGCCAAACCCCACUCCAGCACAAGGAGGAGCUCUGGAGCUUCCUCCCCUUCCGCAGGCGCUCUUGGGGCAGCGAGAAGGAUGGACACGCAGACUUCCUCCACCUCUGCUGCACUCCUGUCUUCUAUAGAGGUCCCCUUCACUCUGAAGCCAUCUGAUGCCUGAAAUCUCUGCAGUGGCCCCAGCCCACACUCAAGUCUCCCUUCUCUCAACUCCCAUAGCACUUAUUGUGAGAAGCACACAAUCAACUCCUGUGUGCAUUGUUCUCUAGCUGUUUUGUAUUCAUUCAUCCAUUUGACUAUCCUGAAUUGUCUGGAGAUGAGUCAUAAUUUGGAAGAUGGUUGAAGGUUUAUUGCGUUAUAUGCCAAACUUAAAAAAAAAAACCUCCACACUCAGGACAUUAAAAAUACAUCUUUCUUG
rnacentral:lncRNA from 1 species